rnacentral:rRNA from 1 species
UACGGAGGAUGCAAGCGUUAUCCGGAUUCAUUGGGUUUAAAGGGUGCGUAGGCGGGCUAUUAAGUCAGUGGCGAAAUCCUGCAGCUUAACUGCAGAACUGCCGUUGAUACUGAUAGUCUUGAGUUUGGUUAAGGUAGGCGGAAUGUGUAAUGUAGCGGUGAAAUGCUUAGAUAUUACACAGAACACCAAUUGCGUAGGCAGCUUACUGAGCCGACACUGACGCUGAGGCACGAAAGCGUGGGGAUCGAACAGGA